CCUACGGGUGGCAGCAGUGAGGAAUAUUGGUCAAUGGACGAGAGUCUGAACCAGCCAAGUAGCGUGAAGGAUGACUGCCCUAUGGGUUGUAAACUUCUUUUAUAUGGGAAUAAAAUGUUCCACGUGUGGGAUUUUGUAUGUACCAUAUGAAUAAGGAUCGGCUACCUCCGUGCCAGCAGCCGCGGUAAUACGGAGGAUCCGAGCGUUAUCCGGAUUUAUUGGGUUUAAAGGGAGCGUAGGUGGAUUGUUAAGUCAGUUGUGAAAGUUUGCGGCUCAACCGUAAAAUUGCAGUUGAAACUGGCAGUCGUGAGUACAGUAGAGGUUGGCGGAAUUCGUGGUGUAGCGGUGAAAUGCUUAGAUAUCACGAAGAACUCCGAUUGCGAAGGCAGCUCACUGGACUGCAACUGACACUGAGGCUCGAAAGUGUGGGUAUCAAACAGGAUUAGAUACCCUAGUAGUC
rnacentral:rRNA from 1 species